rnacentral:rRNA from 1 species
AACGAACGCUGGCGGCAGGCUUAACACAUGCAAGUCGAGCGCCCCGCAAGGGGAGCGGCAGCCGGGUGAGUAACGCGUGGGAACGUACCUUUUGGUUCGGAACAACUCCGGGAAACUGGAGCUAAUACCGGAUAAGCCCUAACGGGGAAAGAUUUAUCGCCGAAAGAUCGGCCCGCGUCUGAUUAGCUAGUUGGUGAGGUAACGGCUCACCAAGGCGACGAUCAGUAGCUGGUCUGAGAGGAUGAUCAGCCACACUGGGACUGAGACACGGCCCAGACUCGGAGGGGAGGAGGGAGGGGGGAAUAGUGGACAAGGGGGGAAGGCCUGACCCAGCCAGGCCGGGGGAGUGAUGAAGGCUUUGGGGUUGAAACGCUUUUUUGUCCGGGAAGAUAAUGACGGUACCGAAAAAAUAAGCCCCGGCUAACUUCGUG